GAAUGAAGAAUAUUACAAACCGAUAAAAGAAAUUAGGGACGUUCGUCCGAAAUAUCUUUUCAGUAUUUAAUGUGAGUUUUAAAUGAAUUUUUAUCUAAAUUUUGAAUCUCUAUACACUCUUUUUCAUUGUCUCAAAGUAUGAACUCAUCUUCUCUAAAGGAAGAUCAGAGAACUGAACCUUUGAUACACCAUCUGAAUGCACAAGCUUCUUCAUCGCCUCAAUAACUUGAGGAAAAACUAUCAGGAACAGGAAGAUACAAAACAGAAUACUGUGACGUCAAGGAAAAGAGAUCUUACUGUGUGAUCAAACAGAUGGCUGUGGAAACGAAAAUGUUAGGAAAUGUUUCUCAACGAGGGCGAAAAAGUUAGGAGAGUGUAAGAUGCAACAGAGGAGUGAUCUACCUCCUGGGAGAACUUUCUACAGAAAACUAGCCCCUGUUUAGAUGCUAUAUACGUGAAGAAAACCCGGAAAACUUAACCCAGGCUCGAACCCACGACCAAGUACUAGCGUUUAAUAGUUUUAUCCACUUGGCCACUGGUGGGCCGCUUCUUACGAGGUAAAUUAGUUUUAGGUGCACGAAAAAAUAUUGGCCACAAUGUUACACCAGCCAGGAAUGUAACGCUAUCAGACAUAAAAUAAUAGACAUUUAUAACAAAUAAGUAUAGUUUAACCCCUAUUUACGAGCGUACUUCGUUCCUGAAAACCUCUCGUAAAUAAGUGCGAGCUUUUUCGCACGGUCGAUAUUUGAACCUCGUUUCUCCUUAACCCAGUUCACUCCUACCCGUAUUUCCCCCCAAAUAAAAUUAAAUUUGUUAUAAAAUUUCUAUUUAUCUAUCAAUAAAUGAUUCUAAUUUUGAUUAGGUUAUUCAUUAAUAUAAAGGAAACAAAUGGGUUACGAUAUAAGAGUAACAAACACAUAAUUUAUCAGAUAUUUCUUUAAUGUUAAGAAAAAUUAAGACAAUAAGUUAGCAGAAAACAAAUAACAUAAAGUAAAAUGUUAGUUUUUUAAUUAAUGAAAUUGUAAUCACCCAUAGAAAGGUCUAUAAUCGAGAGAUAAAGCUCACUAAAUGACACUACACAGCGCGAAUUAAACAAAGAAAAUGGAGAUUGGAACCAGUUUAAUUUCGACGCGUGGGAAUUUUAUUCUUGUCCCACUACAAAAUCGUUAGGAAUUAAUCGAAUUUAAAUGUAUUUUCACUCGUUGUAUCGAAUAUACCGUAAUAAACCGGAGAAAAUAGAAAAGAAAACAAUUCGUUGUAUCGAAUUCUCGUAUAUCGAGUACUCAUAAAUCGGGUUUACACUAUAAAUAAAUAUGGUAAAUUAAUAAGUAUGUUUGCUAUUUUUAGAGAGAGAUUAGAAAAAUUAUUGAAUUUUAAGGAAGAGAUGGAAAAUACACAUCUAUUUAAAUUUAAUUUCGUUCACAAAUAAGUACUCUAUAAUUAAUAAAUAAUUAAAAAUAUUUAGGUCAAGCACAGAAUAUUAUGUCAAAUGUAACUCUGGAAAUCACUUUAAUCAAUAUUUUAUAAAUAUUUAAAUAAAGACUAAUAGUUUUUUUAAUCCAAUUAUGAUUUUCAUAAGAGAAAUCUUAGUAAAGGAAGCCAUUAAAAUU